GACGAAGGUGGCAAGCGUUAUUCGGAUUUACUGGGCAUAAAGCGCGCGUAGGCGGCGCGGUAAGUCGGGUGUGAAAUCUCGGGGCUUAACUCCGAAACUGCAUUCGAUACUGCCGUGCUUGAGGACUGGAAAGGAGACUGGAAUUCCUGGUGUAGCGGUGAAAUGCGCAGAUAUCAGGAGGAACACCGGUGGCGAAGGCGGGUCUCUGGGCCGAUACUGACGCUGAGGAGCGAAAGCGUGGGGAGCGAACAGG
rnacentral:rRNA from 1 species